rnacentral:rRNA from 1 species
GACGAACGCUGGCGGCGUGCUUAACACAUGCAAGUCGAACGGAAAUGCCCUGCUUUUUUGGGGUGCUGUCAUGGCGGAAGGGUGGAGUACCAGGUAGUUACCUGCCCUCGACUUUGGGGUAACCUCAGGGAACGGGGGGCAAUUACGGGUAGUACUUGCUGUGGCGUGGGGGGGGGCGGAGAGUGUCGGGGGUUGGGGGUGGACUGGCGGCGGAUGAGCUUGUGGGUGGGGUGUUGGCUUACCAAGGCUUGGCCGGGUAGCCGGCCUGAGAGGGUGACCGGUCACAUUGGGACUGAGGUACGGGCCAGAAUCCUACGGGAGGCAGCAGUGGGGAAUAGUGCACAGUGGGCGGGAGCCUGAUGCAGCAACGCCGCGUGCGGGAUGACGGCCUUCGGGUGGUAAACCGCUUUCUGCUGUUACGAAGCGUGAGUGACGGUAACGGGUAAAGAAGCACCGGCUAACUACGUG